rnacentral:rRNA from 1 species
CGUGAGUGAUGAAGGUCUUCGGGUCGUAAAGCUCUGUCGGACUGGAACGAAAACGCGAGAGGAACAAUACCCUCUCGUCCUGACGGUACCGGUCCAGAAAGCACCGGCUAACUCCGUGCCAGCAGCCGCGGUAAUACGGAGGGUGCAAGCGUUGUUCGGAAUCAUUGGUCGUAAAGAGCGUGUAGGCGGGAUGGUAUGUCGAAUGUGAAAGCCCUAGGCUCAACCUAGGAAUUGCAUCCGAAACUGCCAUUCUUGAGUACGGGAGAGGGAAGCGGAAUUUCCAGUGUAGAGGUGAAAUUCGUAGAUAUUGGAAGGAACACCAGUGGCGAAGGCGGCUUCCUGGACCGAUACUGACGCUGAGACGCGAAAGCGUGGGGAGCAAACAGGAUUAGAUACCCUGGUAGUCCACGCCGUAAACGAUGAGCACUAGGUGUUGCGGGUUGUUGACCCCUGCAGUGCCGCAGUUAACGCGUUAA